GGCCCAUAGCUCAGUGGUUAGAGCAUUGGUUUGGCAAACCAAAGGUUGUGAGUUUGGAUCUCACUGGGGUCU